rnacentral:rRNA from 1 species
AUAUUGGACAAUGGUCGAAAGCCUGAUCCACCCAUGCCGCGUGUGUGAAGUAUGUAUUCGUAUUGUAAAGCACUUUAAGUUGGGAGGAAGGGCAGUCAGUUAAUACCUUGCUGUCUUGACGUUACCGACAGAAUAAGCACCGUCUAACUUCGUUCCAGCAGCCGCGGUAAUACGAAGGGUUCAAGCGUUAAUCGGAAUUACUGGGCGUAAAGCGCGCGUAGGUGGUUCGUUAAGUUGGAAGUGAAAGCCCCGGGCUUAACCUGGGAAUUGCUUUCAAAACUGACGAGCUAGAGUACGGUAGAGGGUAGUGGAAUUUCCUGUGUAGCGGUGAAAUGCGUAGAUAUAGGAAGGAACAUCAGUGGCGAAGGCGACUACCUGGACUGAUACUGACACUGAGGUGCGAAAGCGUGGGGAGCAAACAGG